GUCUUUCACACUAACAGGACAUGUGUGAGGCGUGUGUGUGUGACUAUGCAGUCACGUACGUGGAUAUGCAGCUCCACACUCUAUGCAGCUCCACACUGUUCUAAGAUCCUCAAAGUUGUUUGAAGAACCUUACGGGUUCUUGGCACUGAACAAUGCCCCCAAAAGGUACUUCCAAGAACCCCAUAGGAGGUGGGGUUGAUCGAGGAACCUCCUUUAGUUCUCAAGGGGGUUCUUGCAGGAACCUAACUGCCCAACUGAAAAAUGAGAAAACAGCAGGGAAGGUUUCUCCCUUGUAUGAUCAACAUUGAUAUUGCUUCAUGGUGAUACCAUGAGCAAAUGGCUGUGUUGUUUGACACUUUCAAUUUUUUUCUGAAACAGACAACGGACACAGUUCAAUGGAAGUUAAUCAACAAAGAGGACUCAGUCCCAGCAGCCAUCUUCCUCCUCCCUGACCUCUUCAAUGAAGAUCCCAGAGGUCUCUACAUUAUGGACAAGACUUCACCCUCCCUACACCGCUGAUGACUAUACUGUAACUGGAUAUCUGUUAGACCAUCAUGCACUGCAGAAUCCUUCUGGCUAUUGAUACGAAGGAUAUCACCACACACAUCAACACGCCAGGGGACAUACUGACUUGAACUUGGAGCUCUGCUGGGAGUUGACCUCAUAUUUCGAUUUUUGAAUUCGGCUUUGCCACUAAAAUCAUAAUAAACACU